CCAUCUGGAGCUGGUACAGGCUCGUCUUAUCUUGAGCCCAAGCAGAGCGUAGUCCCGCAACGAAAGGAUAAGCAGGUAAACGUGCUACAUGCUGAAGUUUAUUUACAAGCUAUGCUGAGAGCAUACAAACAUACAUCUUGCCUCUGUGAGAGCAGAGAAGCAACUCCCGUCUCUAACAAAUGACAGAACACUGAAAAACAGGAAACCAGUGUAUGUCACAUCCAGUCUCCCAUUCCCGUGGGAACCCAACAGUAACUUGGACUGUGGAAUGCAAAACAAUGUCUUGUGACAUGCAUUCGCUGCUCAGUGAGGAAGCAGAAACCAACA